rnacentral:rRNA from 1 species
UACGAAGGGUGCAAGCGUUAAUCGGAAUUACUGGGCGUAAAGGGUGCGUAGGCGGUUCGUUAAGUCUGUCGUGAAAUCCCCGGGCUCAACCUGGGAAUGGCGAUGGAUACUGGCGAGCUAGAGUGUGUCAGAGGAUGGUGGAAUUCCCGGUGUAGCGGUGAAAUACGUAGAGAUCGGGAGGAACAUCAGUGGCGAAGGCGGCCAUCUGGGACAACACUGACGCUGAAGCACGAAAGCGUGGGGAGCAAACAGG